AAGAUGCUUACAACUUCCAGAAGGCAGCAAGACAGAGCUUUGAAAGAAACAAGAAGUACAGCUGAAUAAAAGAUUGAAUUAUUCUCCUCAGUUGAAAAUUAUCACUGAAUCCUUUUUCCUUGUCAAAAGAUGAAACUGAACUAGAAGAUGGUCACCAAAUGUUGGUGGGCCACAGGUUGAGAGUGCCAUAAAUCAAGGCCUCAGGACCAGACUGGAGCCCUCCUUUUGGCACUUCUCCACCAAAAUCAUGUGUGGUGUGUUCACUGCACCCUCAGCACCGAUGUUUUCAUCUCUAAGAUCUGCUUCUUUUGAAUCAUGGAGAAAGAAUAUUAAAUACACAGUUCCACAGGAAAACUUGGAGACUGAUCUA